GCCUCGUUAGCUCAGUUGGUAGAGCAGAAGACUCUUAAUCUUUUGGUCCUUGGUUCGAGUCCAAGACGGGGUACCA
rnacentral:tRNA from 3 species